rnacentral:rRNA from 1 species
UACGUAGGGUGCAAGCGUUAAUCGGAAUUACUGGGCGUAAAGCGUGCGCAGGCGGUUAUGCAAGACAGAGGUGAAAUCCCCGGGCUCAACCUGGGAACUGCCUUUGUGACUGCAUAGCUAGAGUACGGUAGAGGGGGAUGGAAUUCCGCGUGUAGCAGUGAAAUGCGUAGAUAUGCGGAGGAACACCGAUGGCGAAGGCAAUCCCCUGGACCUGUACCGACGCUCAUGCACGAAAGCGUGGGGAGCAAACAGG